rnacentral:rRNA from 1 species
AACGAACGCUGGCGGCAUGCCUAACACAUGCAAGUCGAACGAGACCUUCGGGUCUAGUGGCGCACGGGCGCGUAACACGUGGGAAUCUGCCCUUUGCUUCGGAAUAACAGUUAGAAAUGACUGCUAAUACCGGAUGAUGUCGAAAGACCAAAGAUUUAUCGGCAAAGGAUGAGCCCGCGUAGGAUUAGGUAGUUGGUGGGGUAAAGGCCUACCAAGCCGACGAUCCUUAGCUGGUCUGAGAGGAUGAUCAGCCACACUGGGACUGAGACACGGCCCAGACUCCUACGGGAGGCAGCAGUGGGGAAUAUUGGACAAUGGGCGAAAGCCUGAUCCAGCAAUGCCGCGUGAGUGAUGAAGGCCUUAGGGUUGUAAAGCUCUUUUACCAGGGAUGAUAAUGACAGUACCUGGAGAAUAAGCUCCGGCUAACUCCGUG